AAAUAAGAAACAAUAAUGUAUCCAAUUUCGACCUGGAAUUUUGAUGAUAAAAUUCAUCCUUAUUUA
rnacentral:tRNA from 1 species